AUGCUGUCUGAGGCUCUUCCUGCAUCUGCUGGUUCCUGGAGGAAGGAACUGGAUCUCUGCCAGGGUUUGAGUCAUCUCCUUAUCUCAGCUGUGGUGGUGCUGCUCUGGGCUGCACUCUGCCUGUGGCUGAUCUCCAGGGAGAUGGAGACCCCUGGAAUCCUGUCCCAGCAGGAAUCAUCGGAUUCUGAUCAGCCAUGGCUGCCCUGGGGAGGAAGGCAGAGAGCAGCAAGGAGGAGAAGGCACCACCUGCAGUGUGGAGACACUGAUGGGAUAACUGGCAAUGGGGAGUCUCUCCUUAGACACUGGUGCUGCUGGACUUCACCAGAUCCGAGAGAGAAGUUGUGCGGGAGAGGGCUGUGGGGAGGAUUGGUGUCCUGGCCAGUUUGCUGUCUAGCUAUUCCACUCUGAAGGUAAGGACCAGACACCCCCCAGCCAGGCCAGGCCCCCCUCCCAGCCCCUCUCCAUGCCAGGGCUUCUGCUGAGCUGGUUCCUCCAAGAGAUUGGGCCAUAGAGCCCUGCAAAGCCCAGAUCCACUGGGAAUCCUGCCCUGGGUACAGGUGUUUGGCACCAGAUUCCUUCCCUUAGCCCUUCUUCUCAUGCCUCCCUCAACCAGGCCUCUCUCAGCUUUGGAAGAGACAGUUUUGGACCUGCCUGCCCUGAAGACAUCUCAGUCCCAGUCAUGGGGAGGCUGGUGGGACGUCUCAUUCUUUUCCGAUAUUCCGAGGAACAAACAAGUUAUACAGCUUUCCACGCUCUGUUUUCCCUUGCUGAAUUCCUCUGUAAGUAAAAAAGCAAGAGCAGCUGUGGCCUUCAUCCCUGUGCACACAGAGCUCUCUUGACAGGUCUGCUUCCUGACUUCCUUUGUCCCUCCUGGCUGCUUCCCGUAGCAUCCCAGCUGUCAUUUCACUGCAGAAGCUGAGUGUUCACCUCAAGUCCAGGAUUUGUUACUGUUCUCCUUCCCCCACUUCCUUUCAGGACCUUGAACCCUGCUGGUUUGUGCCCCCCAGCCAAAGGUCCAAUUGACUCCCAGGCCCCAAAGCCGAGUCUUCCCUGUUUGAGAAAAGCAGAUCCACCAUCCUGGCUGGUGCCUCUUGCCUAUAGCAAGAAACUGUUCCUGACACCCUCCAGAAAUCUUGACUGAUUCUGUCCUGCUGUCUUGCAAGCAGAUCUCAGGGUGGUUUGAUGACCCUGCUGGCAAAGCAGCUCUGUCUUACUGACUCUUCUGUGUUUGCUCUGCUGUUUAGACAAGUCAAGGCCAAGGGAUGGGCCAGACCAAUUUGCUUGGGAAGCUGUGACCACUUCCUCUCUGUGUUACCUGAGCAUCAGAGACUGUACCCAGGUAAUGAUCCCCCUCCUUGCUGGGACUCUUGUCUGUGGCAUCAGCAGGGCACUUGUGUGAGCAAAGGGA
rnacentral:lncRNA from 1 species